UACGAAGGGGGCUAGCGUUGCUCGGAAUCACUGGGCGUAAAGGGUGCGUAGGCGGGUCUUUAAGUCAGGGGUGAAAUCCUGGAGCUCAACUCCAGAACUGCCUUUGAUACUGGCGGCCUUGAGUCCGGGAGAGGUGAGUGGAACUGCGAGUGUAGAGGUGAAAUUCGUAGAUAUUCGCAAGAACACCAGUGGCGAAGGCGGCUCACUGGCCCGGUACUGACGCUGAGGUGCGAAAGCGUGGGGAGCAAACAGG
rnacentral:rRNA from 1 species